GCCCAAUGAUGACACUAAGGCGAAUACGAGCUUACUGAAGGAGAGCUGGGUUCUUCUUGCCUCUAUUGGCAGGUAAUCUUGGCAGUGCAGAGGAGCAUUCCUGCUCUGCUGUAAGGGCCUGCCUACAGUGACUUUGCUCAACCUAAAUUAUUCCUCGACAGUCAACGCAGAGUAAUUGCUGGGAUGAAGCCAACAGUGUGUGUGUGUGUGUGUGUGUGUGUGUGUGUAAGAGAAAAGGAGUUCACCCAGCUCUUUGUUCAGUUUGCAACGAGUUGUUCUUUUCUAAUCUGAGGGCA
ensembl:snoRNA